rnacentral:rRNA from 1 species
ANACCAACAGGGAUUGCCUCAGUAGCGGCGAGUGAAGCGGCAAAAGCUCAAAUUUGAAAUCUGGUAGUUCUGCUACCCGAGUUGUAAUUUGUAGAAAACUGUCUUUGUUAGGGUGCCUGUCUAAGUUCCUUGGAACAGGACGUCGCAGAGGGUGAGAAUCCCGUGUGAUGGGUGGCCCGAGCUUUUAAGGCGUUUUCGAAGAGUCGAGUUGUUUGGGAAUGCAGCUCUAAGUGGGUGGUAAAUUCCAUCUAAAGCUAAAUAUUGGCGAGAGACCGAUAGCGAACAAGUACAGUGAUGGAAAGAUGAAAAGAACUUUGAAAAGAGAGUGAAACAGUACGUGAAAUUGUUGAAAGGGAAGGGUAUUUGAUCCGACAUGGGAUUUACUCAUCAUUGCUCCUUGUGGGUGGUGCUCUGGGUUUUUUCUGGGCCAGAAUCAGUUUGUGUGGCAGGAUAAAGGCGUGAGGAAGUAGCUCUUCUGGAGCAAUAUAACUCAUGUUAAUACUGCCUAUGCGGACUGAGGAAUGCGGUUUUUACCAAGGAUUCUGGCAUAACGAUUAAAUACCGC